GAUGAACGCUAGCUAUAGGCUUAACACAUGCAAGUCGAGGGACCGGCGCACGGGUGAGUAACGCGUAUCCAACCUGCCCAUAACUAAGGGAUAACCCAGCGAAAGUUGGACUAAUACCUUAUGGUUAUGGAUGGGGAUGCGUCUGAUUAGCUUGUUGGCGGGGUAACGGCCCACCAAGGCAACGAUCAGUAGGGGUUCUGAGAGGAAGGUCCCCGAGAUUGGAACUGAGACACGGUCCAAACUGCUACGAGAGGCAGCAGUGAGGAGUAUUGGUCAAGGGACGCGAGUGUGAACCAGCCAAGUAGCGUGCAGGAUGGCGGCCUAUGGAUUGUAAACUGGUUGUAUAUGGGGAUAGGUACCAUAAGAAUAAGGACCGGCUAAUUCCGUGCCAGCAGCCGCGGUAAUAC
rnacentral:rRNA from 1 species